UGAACCUGCGGAAGGAUCAUUACCGAGUGCGGGCCCUCUGGGUCCAACCUCCCAUCCGUGUCUAUCUGUACCCUGUUGCUUCGGCGUGGCCACGGCCCGCCGGAGACUAACAUUUGAACGCUGUCUGAAGUUUGCAGUCUGAGUUUUUAGUUAAACAAUCGUUAAAACUUUCAACAACGGAUCUCUUGGUUCCGGCAUCGAUGAAGAACGCAGCGAAAUGCGAUAAUUAAUGUGAAUUGCAGAAUUCAGUGAAUCAUCGAGUCUUUGAACGCACAUUGCGCCCCCUGGUAUUCCGGGGGGCAUGCCUGUCCGAGCGUCAUUGCUGCCCUCAAGCACGGCUUGUGUGUUGGGCUUCCGUCCCUGGCAACGGGGACGGGCCCAAAAGGCAGUGGCGGCACCAUGUCUGGUCCUCGAGCGUAUGGGGCUUUGUCACCCGCUCCCGUAGGUCCAGCUGGCAGCUAGCCUCGCAACCAAUCUUUUUAACCAGGUUGACCUCGGAUCAGGUAGGGAUACCCGCUGAACUUAAGCAUAUCAA
rnacentral:rRNA from 1 species